CUAGUAUUAGUUCGAGUGAUGCUGUGCAAUACUUGGUACAAAAAGUUUUCUGCUACUAUUAGAUAUACGUUAAUUGCUACAUUUUUGCUUUAGGUCAUGCUGAGUUGGUUUAAGUGCUCAAUGAGUUAUAAAUGUGUAUUAGAAAUGCUUCCUGGGUUAAUCUGGAAUGUUUUUGGUCAAGCUGAGUUGGUUUAACUGCUCAAUGAGAUAUAACUGUGUAUUGGAAAUGCUUCCUGGGUUAAUGUGGAAUGUUUUUGGUCAUGCUGAGUUGGUCUAACUGCUCAAUGAGUUAUAACUGUGUAUUAGAAAUGUUUCCUGGGUUAAUGUGGAAUGUUUUUGGUACAAGAAGUUUUCUUCUAUCUCUUUUAGUUCUUGACUUAUAACCUAUCAUACUAUUAGACAUUUGUUAAUUGCUUCAUUUUUGCUUUUAGGUCAUGUUGAGUUGGUCUAACUGCUCAAUGAGUUAUAACUGUGUAUUAGAAAUGCUUCCUGGGUUAAUGUGGAAUGUUUUUGGUACAAAAGGUUUUCUUCUAUCUCUUUUAGCUUUUGACUUAUAACCUGUUAUCCUAUUAGACAUACGUUAAUUACUACAUUUUUCCUUUGAGGUCAUGCUCAGUUGCUCUAACUGCUCAUUGAGUUAUAAGUGUGUAUUAGAAAUGCUUCCUGGGCUAAUGUGGAAUG